AAAGUCCCGUCGUAGAAGGUAAACCAGACCACUACGUAGCGAGUCUUGCAUUUCCGGCGGUAACAAAGGAGAUGAAGCGUAGACAGCGAAACACUCGAGCCGAAACCAACAGGUGAACGUGAUAGCGCCGAAAUACAUUUGAUCGGGUGUGCCGAUAGUAUCGUUCAGCUAGCAGGCAGCAGCGUCUGAAUGGUCAUACUGGUAAAUAUCCAUUCAGCAGUACACACCGGCGCCGCAGGCGU
rfam:Xenorhabdus nematophila ATCC 19061 chromosome, complete genome